rnacentral:rRNA from 1 species
GACGGAGGAUGCAAGUGUUAUCCGGAAUCACUGGGCGUAAAGCGUCUGUAGGUGGUCAAAUAAGUCAACUGUUAAAUCUUGAGGCUCAACCUCAAAAUCGCAGUCGAAACUAUUAGACUAGAGUAUAGUAGGGGUAAGGGGAAUUUCCAGUGGAGCGGUGAAAUGCGUAGAUAUUGGAAAGAACACCGAUGGCGAAGGCACUUUACUGGGCUAUUACUAACACUCAGAGACGAAAGCUAGGGUAGCAAAUGGG